rnacentral:rRNA from 1 species
UACAGAGGUCCCAAGCGUUGUUCGGAUUCAUUGGGCGUAAAGGGUGCGUAGGCGGCGCGGUAGGUCGGGUGUGAAAUCUCGGGGCUUAACUCCGAAACUGCAUUCGAUACUGCCGUGCUUGAGGACUGGAGAGGAGACUGGAAUUUACGGUGUAGCGGUGAAAUGCGUAGAUAUCGUAAGGAAGACCAGUGGCGAAGGCGGGUCUCUGGACAGUUCCUGACGCUGAGGCACGAAGGUCAGGGGAGCAAACGGG